rnacentral:tRNA from 1 species
UGCAGCGUGGCUCACUGGAAAGAGCCCGGGUUUAGGAGUCCGAGGUCACAGGUUCUAAUCCCGUCUCUGCCA